rnacentral:rRNA from 1 species
CAGCCGCCGCGGUAAUACCGGCGGCCCGAGUGGCGGCCACUAUUAUUGGGCUUAAAGCGUCCGUAGCCGGGUUGGGAAGUCCUCCGGGAAAUCUGGCCGCUUAACGGUCAGAAUGCCGGAGGAUACUCCCAGCCUAGGGACCGGGAGAGGCCGAGGGUAUUCCCGGAGUAGGGGUGAAAUCCUAUAAUCCCGGGAGGACCACCUGUGGCGAAGGCGCUCGGCUGGAACGCGUCCGACGGUGAGGGACGAAGGCCAGGGGAGCAAACCGGAUUAGAUACCCGGGUAGUCCUGGCUGUAAACGAUGCGGACUUUGUGUCGGACAAGCUAUGAGCUUGUCCGGUGCCGGAGGGAAACCGUUAAGUCCGCCGCCUGGGGAGUACGGCCGCAAGGCUGAAACUUAAAGGAAUUGGCGGG